GGUUGUGAGGCAAUCUGGCUGCGACAUCUGUCACACCAUUGAUCGCCAGGGUUGAUUCGGCUGAUCUGACUGGCUAGCCGGGUGUCCCCUUCCUCCCUCAUCGUUCCAUGUGCUUCCCUCCCGAAGCUGCGCACUUGGUCAAAGACAACGGCCUUCCUUGAAUAGAGACAGACCGGUCUUCAGUCAGGCACUCCCCUGCUAGAACCUCCAAACAAGCUCUCAAGAAUUAAAAUUCUAGAAUAAAAAUAUAAUUAGAUAUCUCCUAAAACAAGCAAUUAUCAUAGACUGUCUUAAGACAGUAUGAUGAAUU
ensembl:misc_RNA 7SK 7SK RNA